AUUGAACGCUGGCGGCGUGCCUAACACAUGCAAGUCGAACGAGAAAGUGGGAGCAAUCCCAUGAGUACAGUGGCGAACGGGUGAGUAACACGUGACUAACCUACCUUCCAGUGGGGGAUAACCUCGGGAAACCGGGGCUAAGACCGCAUAACCUCGUGAGGUGAAACUCCUUGCGAGCAAAGGGGUAAGACGCUGGAUGAGGGGGUCGCGUCCGAUUAGCUAGUUGGCGGGGUAACGGCCCACCAAGGCGAUGAUCGGUAGCCGGCCUGAGAGAGCGCACGGCCACACUGGAACUGAAACACGGUCCAGACUCCUACGGGAGGCAGCAGUGGGGAAUUUUGCACAAUGGGGGAAACCCUGAUGCAGCAACGCCGCGUGGAGGAUGAAGUCCCUUGGGACGUAAACUCCUUUCGACCGGGACGAUAAUGACGGUACCGGUGGAAGAAGCCCCGGCUAACUCCGUGCCAGCCGCCGCGGUAA
rnacentral:rRNA from 1 species